rnacentral:lncRNA from 1 species
CCCGACCUCAGGUGAUCCACCUGCCUAGGCCUACCCAAAGUAUUGGGGUUACAGGCAUGAACCACCACACCUGGCUAAAGGUAGGGACUUUGAAGGCAAGACUCAAGUUUGAAUCCUGGCCAGGUGACUUCUGGCUGUGUGAAUUUGGGCACUGUUUUCUAUUAUCCUCUCUGAGCUUACACUUGUCCUCUGCAAAUGGAGUUGUUGUGAGGAUUAAGUGCCAUAAUUAAUGUAUGUAAAGUGCCGCUCAGUGUGCUUGGCACAUAGCCUGCACCCAUUGGGUGUUGCUGCUGUUUUUAUGGGAGCUGGUUGGGCAGUGGUAUUGUUUAUAAACAUGUAUGAUGUGCUUUUGAAAGCUCCUUCAAAACUCAAUGAUUAAUUGUUAAUGGACUGAGCCCGGGGCUUCUCUUUUUGAGGUAUCGUUUACGUGGAAAUUCUGUUUGUUGCUUUUGCCCAUAUAAACCCACUUGAUUAAGAAUUGAUGAAAGGAAGUCAUAAUUCAAGUAAAUAAAGGAUGCUCCAUGAGGAACUUGAGAACUUCUUAAGGGGCGAGAUAAGAGAAAGGGGAAAAGAAGACCUGAAAAACAAACAACAACAACAACAAAACAAAACAAAAACCAAAAGCAAUCAAACAAAAAACAAAAAACACCCCAAAAAACCGCAGGGAGGGAAAGAAAGGGAGAAAAGGGAAGAGGGAGGUGGUAACACUUUAACUUUCCCCCCAAACGGUAGACCAGUGAAGCUCAGAUUCUUGCCAAUCUGCCAAUCAGAUGCAUUGCUCCACCUCCCAGGGGAGGAAGAAAAAGCUUUUUCACCUAUCAAUGGCACUAGGCAGUAUUUUAUGAGCCAGCCUGGCUUCUGGGUGAGGGAGACUCUGGUUUCGCCUUUCGUUAGGGAAUGAUCAUCAUAAUAAUACCAAAUAUUUAUGGAGUUUUUACUUGUGCCAACUCCUUUAAAGGAAUUAUCUAGUUUAGUUAUCGAGAGUCAAAUGUAUUUGUAUAUUUCUGGUUAUCACAGCAACCCUUUGGGAGGGAGAAUAAAAUUAGCUGCAGUUUACAAAUGAGCAUGGUGGUACCAUGUCACCUUUUCGACAAUCCAAGGCCACACAGCUAGUAAAUGUCAUGCUGACAUUCAAAUUCAAGUCUAUCUGCUCUCAAAUUCUGUGUUUUUUAUAUACUAGUUUUCUCUAAAGGUGGUCCAUGGACUUCCUGAUCAAGAAUCAUCUGGGAUGUGUUUUAAAAAAUGCAGAUUUCCAGCAUGGCUGACUCUCACACCCAAAUGCUGACAGGAGGUCUCAGGAGGGGCACAGCGAUGUGUACUUUAAAUAAGGACCCUGGCUGUGUGAAUCAAACACACACCAAAGUUCGUGAGUGAUUGCACUGGAAGGAUAGGUGUCCAAAUCAGCUUUUACUAAUAUAUCUAUGGGACAAGUAAACGGACAUUUAUUUGCAAACAGAAUUUUUAUUUACUGAUUUUUGCUAAUGUAUUGAAUCUGACAAGUUUUUUGGGAGCCAGGCAAGCCAGGCCUCAGGUAAGCUGGGUCUCAGGUAUCUGAACUCCUGCAAAGAUCUGGAUGUCACCUCUGGUACAACUUUUCUCACAAUUUUCAAUCUAGAGACUUUGACUUUUUGCCCAGUGAUGACUCCUACACCAAGAGAAGCCAAGACCAGGGGAAACUGCCUUCUGAAAAAGCUGAUCCUCCUUUUUGCUUUUCAGGACAUGGUCAUUUACAUAGAUUAGCAUGACCACUUACAUACAUUUGCAUAUAUCUGCAUAGAUUUGCAUGCAUAGGGUAUGUGCAUGGCUUUCUCUUAUCCAUUUGGCUCCAUUCUUGAGUAAGCUCUGUAUAUUGCAACUUCCCAUCCUCUCAUCCUCUGAUUGGACCUUCUUGAACUUUGAUUUCAAAGUUUUAUUUUAUUUUAAAUUUUCCACAUGGUGGGCAGUUGGCUUUGGGAACCUGACCUGGUUGCUCGGACAGGUGGAGUUUCCUUUACUGGCCGGUGGGAGGCAGUGAAGAGUAGUAGCUAACAGCACAGACUGCAGUUAGAUCUGGUUUAUGCACUUACUAGCUGUUUAACAUUGAAUAAGUCACUUAACGGCCCCAGGGCUUUGUUUCCUCAACUCUUAAUGGGAAUAAUAGUACCUACCUAAUAGUGUUGUUUGAGAAUUAAGUGUCUAUAAAGCAGUUAGCAUACUGCCUGGCAUGGCCCCGAAAAUGGUACAAUUAAUAUGGUAAUUUUCUUGUGAGGAUGAUGUUGAUGAUGAUGAAGAUAAUGAUGCAGUACUCAUCAUAAUGCCUUCUAAAUUGUGACUCUCUUAAUCCCAGAAGAUAAGCACUCAGUGG